GAGCUGCUUCCUGUCCUUCCUCGUACUACUACCACGCAUUGUGCAUAACCACACUGGAUGUUCUAAUAUGAUAAAGAUAUCCUGCCUUCAAGCAUGGGAGAAAUGAAUUUGAAACUGAAUGUAAAAUAUGUGGAGCUCGAAACAUCUUAGUGGCCAAAAGAGAUCUUGCUAAAAAGAUGAUCUCAGCCAGAAAAAUCUCAAAGCACUGAGACAAUGUAAUUGGUCCUCAUGCCUUGAAAGUAACUAUGGAAGCUUUGACUGGCGAACCCUGGUUUGGUGUCACAACCGGUGGAAGUAACAACAGCAAUACAAAAAUGUUCCCCAUUCUUUUUCGGUAUUUUGACUACAAUCUUGGUGGUUUAAUAACAAAAGCAACUGACCUAAAAUUUACCCAUAAUGAAACAUCCGAGACUGUUGAACAGAAUAUUACAAAAACACUACGUAAUUUCCUAUUGCUAAUAAGAGUGUGUCAUUUACCGUUGAUAGUGCUAACACAAACUUUGGAGGUGUAAAUCAUAAGGAAGGCAAGAAUACAUACAGCAGAUUAAAAAGACAUCUUUGAACAAUAAGGAUUUAAUCAGUAUGAGAUGUCCCAUUCACAUUUUGCAUAAUGCAAUUCAGCAUGGUGCUGACAGUCUUUCCGUUGAUUUGGCAUGAGUCAUUGUGAAAAUUACACUAUUUGAAUGGAACAAUUACACUCCUUGUGUGAAUUUGUCGAGGUAAAUUACAAACAAGUCCUGGCUUAUGUGGAAACUAGGUGGUUGUCUAUUUCCCCAGGCACUGAAACGGUACUGGGAAUAUAGCCUGCUCUGAAAUAUUACUUUUUGUCAGAAAGAAAGCCACCAAAUGUUUUAUUUCAGUUCUUUGAGAAUACAUUAAGUGAAACCUACUUAUGGCAUUUGCAUUCAUUGAUAUAUGUGUUCAGUUCAAAUAUUGUACAGCUAGAAAAGGACAACUCUGUGCUUGAAGUGACUGACAUUUUAGAUUCUGUACAUAAAGUGUUUGAAGACUAAUUAAAUGUAAAAUUCAUUUUCCUAAACAUUCAGCAGAAGCUGGAAAUUGUAACAGAAACGGCUUUGAUAAAUAAGUUAAACUUUUCCUGGUGGAAACAAUGUUGCUUUAUCAAUCAUGCCAUGAAUAUUUAAAAUGAUGGCUCUGUAUAUUUGAUGACUUUUUCUGUUUCAAACAGAUGUUUCUUGAAAAGGUGUUAACUACAGUGACAUUGAAGAAAAAUGUAAAUAUUUUGGAAUCACAGAUGUAAAACUUUUUGACCAAUUCUGUAAUUUUAGGCAAUUUCUGAAAAGAAUAGUAAUGAUCCUUAAUUUAAUGGGUUAACUUGUAGUGGUGGAAAAAGAAGAAAUGGGCCAAGUAUUUUUGUGAAAGUUGGUCUGCUGAUUGUCAUUCAGAACUGUUAAAAUUCGCUAAUACUUUAUCAGUACAUCAUGGCAUGAUGCAAAUACAAAAAGAGUAUUUUUGCUCAUUACAACACAGUGGGCUGGAGAUGGGAAUAGGUUGAACCUUGAAUCUGUUAAAGGUGUGUUGAUGGUCUAGUAUAAUUUAAAAGAACUUUUCUGUCUCUCUCUUUUUACAACUAUUUGCUAAGCAAGCCCAAACUUCUACAGAAAAUUGGAUCUUCAGAGAAGUACUAAUAAAGGUUAAGGAUUGUUAUGUCUAUUAAUUAAUUUAUUUAUUAAAUUUGAAUUUGUCCUCCUUUUUGAAACUGUUUGUUCUCUUUUUUUAUAUGUCUGUAUCUGGUCCCCCUUGGCAUGAGUUGCUGUGCAAACAGAGCUUGUAUGACGAGAAUGUGAAGUAUGGUGUGCAUGUGUUCAACAUUUUGUGUGAAAAAAAGGAAGUAAAUAAACUGAUACCUCAGUGAAAGCUGGAAGUCAAAAUUACUUCAUACAAUGAAGUGUGCACAUGAAUAAUGCUUAUGGCACACUUUGACGUUUUGUAGAAUCACAUGGAAUAAUGUUUAUGUGCCAGGCUACAUCACCUUCUGUAAUAGUUAACCUGUUUACAGUCUGAGGGCAGCAGUAAACAGUGAGGAGAUUAAUGCAGUUUUCACACCUCUUGUGUGAACAAUGCUCUAUGUUACAAGGGUGGUGGCGUGUAGAAGGGUGACACUUACAGCAAGUGGUUUGAAAUGUAUAAAUAACGCAGAGAAAAGUAAAAUUCACUUCAGUAAUUGGCAGGAUAUUAAAGGGAAAAGACUUUGUGAUGCUUGAUUUGAAUACAAACCACAAAAAGGUAAUGUAGUUCCUGCAAAACUGCCUACAAGACAGGUGAGAAGAAUAAUGUUGUUUGGGUUUCGUAUAAAGGGAUAUGUCUAUAGAGUAGCGCACACACACAGAAGAGCCAGAGAAACUGGUCCACCUGCUUAAUAUUGUGUAGGGCCCACGAGAGCACACAGUGUGACGCAACAUGACAUGGCAUGGACUCGACUAAUGUUUGAAGUAGUGCUGAAGGGAAUUGACACCAUGAAUCCUGCAAGGCUGUCCAUAAAUCUGUAAGAGUAUGAGGGGAUGGAAAUCCCUUCUCAACAGCACAUUGCAAGGUACCGCAGAUAAGCUCAAUACUGUUCAUAUCUGGGGAGUCUGGAAGCCAGCGGAAGUGUUUAAACUCAAAAGAGCAUUCCUGGAGCCACCCUAUAGCAAUUCUGGACAUGUAGGGUGUUGCAUUGUCCUGCUGGAAUUGCCCCAGCCUGUUGGAAUGCACAAUGGACAUGAAUAAAUGCAGGUGUCAGACGGGAUGCUUAUGUACGUGUCACCU